ACAGAGUUAUUGCCCCCUUAUGGGGGGGUAGAACCUCUAACCCCAUGCGUACUUGACUUUGUUGCUUCGGUGAGUCGUAAAUGGUUUUUUUUUUUUUUAAGAACCUUUCCAUUGGCUUAGGCUGAUGUGUGCUCGCCAGAAGAAAAUAUUAAACUUACUCUUUUUUUUUUUAAUUUUAUUCUUUGUCUGGGUUUAAUUACAAAAAUUAAA
rnacentral:misc_RNA from 1 species